UGCCACCUGAGGUUUCAUAUAACUGCACAGGGCGCUGGACAGGGAAACCCAGCCAGGAGAGAGCUGGGUCAGGAAAAGAGGCUUGACUAGCUCAGGCGUGGGUCUGGUCCUCACUCGGUCUGCUGCAUUGACACACACCUUCUGAAUACCAGAACAAGGGAAAGGGCAAUGUUGAGUCAGAAAAAAUGAGAAUGGGAUUGCUUCUUUUGGCCUCAGUGCCAUACCAAAGCGUUUGUGGAAACAAAGCCUCUCAGUGCCAAGUCUGGAAUUCUUGAAUUAAUGUGGUUAAACCAUUAAUAAAAUCUUAUUCUGGCCUAGAAUUUUCUCUGGCCUACGGUAAGCAGCAUCCAUUUCUUAUUCCGUCAGGUUCCUGAAUACAGGCAAUAAAUCUAUUCCUUUUUUAUUGUUUUUGUGGAAGUUUGUGUAAUAAUGCUUGACUGCAGUGAGUAUUUUCCAGUCUUAGUUUGACUGCACUCCCUUUGCUUGCACUCCAAACUGAGAUAUUAAGGACUCAUUUUUGCACAUUUCUGGGGACCUUCAUUGUCCCCAUGAUUCAACAGUGCCCUGCACCAGUCACUGAUGGAGUCUUGGGUAUGUCCUGGUAUGAAACCUAGAGCGUGGUGUACUCGCAUGUGUGUAGUAAGCAGGAGAUAACCAGAGAGCAGCACAAGUGACUGCUCUUCGGAAAUGUGCUCUGGCUACUGCCCUUCUCUGCAUGGUUCUUCCCAGAGUCUUCCAAUCCAAAAGCAAAAUGAGGUUAAUGUAAAUGUCUUCAGUAAAAGAUACUUUUUCGGGUGCUUGUAUGCUGACGAUUCAGGCGUUUGCUGGCUUUGCCAGUGACAUUUAUCCAUCUGUAAGCACAGCUUUUGCCCCACACUGUUAGACUGCAGCUGUUUGCACAAUGCAGUGAGGUAACCUCGUAUGAGGCAAGGUCCAGCAUGACCAGUCCUCAGUAAAGAUAUGUGCAAUUUGGCACAAAAAUGGAAGCCUUCCAAGCAUUGCACAAUCUCUCAUUCAGAAAUCCCAAAUAAAAAACUCAAUCCCGAUGCCCUGCAUGUAGGGAUGGACUAUGGGUUUCAUGGUCUGUAUAAGGACUUAAUAAAGUAGCAAAGGGGGUUCCCGUUCACAAGAGUGCCUAGAGUGGGUGAUAGGUGAGAGGGUAGCCUGGGUCGCUCAGCUGAAGCACAGGUAUCUCAGGUGUGUGGAGAAGAUAUGCCUUCAAAGAAGGCAUUGCAAAUGGUCUUGGGAUUCUAUAGACAGCUCUAGGUGGACUGUACAACAAUGGGAGACUGGUUUGUCCUCUGUCCUGUUUAAUUAGACCAGUGUAUGGAUAUCUGAGAUUGGAGGAAAACACUUCUAUUGAUGUGCAAAAAUAGUGGCAGUAGGAUAAAAAUGCAAAUUCUCUUACAAAACACAUCAGUCAGUGUUAGGGUUGUGAAACACUGAGAAUAUAGAUGUACCACUGAAACAUCAGAAAAUAAAAGUGUUUUCCCAUCUUUCCAGCCGUUUCCACCCCUUUAAAAACCUCUUUCAAUUUGUUUUCUUUUAUAGAGUCAUGCAUUUCUCCCUCUUCCAACCUUUGUUUUAUUUGAGUUGGGAAACAUCUCCUUUUGUUGUCAGUGUUGCUUUCAUUUGUAGUUCUACUUUGUUUUGCAAAAUAAUUCAGGAAUUCUUCAUCCAAAGGCAAUUGUUUGAAAGCAUUUCAAUAAAGUCUGUAAGGAGAAAGACAUCUAUUCUUCCGCUGUUCACUUUCUCUAUAAUUUUUCUGCUCUCCUUGCCUUUACCGAUGACCAUGAAUUUGUCCAUUUAGAAUCCAAGGAAAAACCUGUUUUUAUAUUUUCUGAAAAAAACAGAGAUAUUUUCUGUCCUUCACAAAAUGCCACAUGUGCAAUUUCCUUCCUGCCUGGAGGUCUGAAAUCACCACAACAAUGCCUUCUGCAUCAAGGGCUCAGGGACUCCUCUGCAGCGAAACACUUGAACAAACACUUAAAGUUAAGCCUCUGCAUAGCCUCAUUGGAGAAGGUGAAGGAAUAUGAAUGUACCUUGAAAUGCACCGGGUUUUUGUAUAAACAUUAUGAAGAUUUGCAUUCAAAAGGUAACUGAUGAAAUUUUUACCCUAAAAGUUGCUUUUCACUUGAAAUGUCUUUUCAGUUGAUAACAAAAUCAUUUGACAUUCCGCAGGAAGAAAACUGAUAAACUCCGAAAAGCUAAGCUUCCAAUGGGAAAUUUUUUUUUUUAAUUCUCACAAAACAUGAAAAAAUAAGCAAACUGUAGUUGAAUCCUUUCUUUUACACAGGAACAAAAAAAAAUAUAUAAGACCAUCAGCCCUAGGUCUGAACUAAAAAAUGACAUGAAAAUGAAGAGAGAAAAAUACGUUGAGUUUUGUUUGUUUUCCUGCAUGUGAUAUAUAAACCAACCUGAAAGUUUUGAAGAUUAGAUAUGAUGACUCCUGAGUCAGAGUCCAAUUCUGCAUGUUCAGCAUGGUUGAAUUUGACAUUCAGGUUUGUUCAGACUUUGCUUUUCCUUGGGAAGGAGAGUUUGCAGUUCCUGCUUUCUGGGGCUGUAAGCUGUGUAAGCUUUAAAGUACUGGAAAGCCCACCUGAAAAAUCUAUUCCUUUUAACUUAGAAUAGUCAUAUUGUCUCAGGGAUUGCUGUACAUCCCUAGAGGUGUCUCCAAGAUAACCAUGCAGACUAGGGUAUCUUGAAGUCAGUUAAGGUGUCCAAGGAAUGCAGCUGCCUAAUGAAGAACUGUAAAUAUUUGCAUCAGACAAAUGCACUUAGAAAUAGAUGAGUAACCUGUUUCUGAUGCAGGGAAUUAAUCAUGCAGUCUUCACACAAAGAAUCUGAAAGAUGAGGCCCCAUGUCGUUUGGAUUAAGAUGUCACUAUGUUGUUAUCUGGGAUGAAGUGUAGGAUUUAUAUAACAUCGUCUUUCUCUUGCUGAAGAUCAGCCGAUUCAAACAACUUGAAUAAGUGGUUUCCAUCCUAAGAGGGCUAUGUUUACAUCUUGAGCGGCUGUUGCUGUGGUUUGGUCCUGUGCAAAACCAAACCAAACCAAAACCCUAUUUAAUUUCACAUUCCUUACGGUUUCCGAUCUUCUUGGACAUAUUGACUGUUUUGUUCGUCUGGCAGUAAAAAGCCCAGACACCUUGGCCAGGGAAGGAAUAUUCCUACCUAGUGGGACCACCAGGUUUUGGGAAGUACCGUUGUGUUUCCUCUGCCACCUCCUCCAGAACUGAGAAAGGAGGGAAGAGAGAAGGGGAAGUGACAUUUUUUUCCUUGUAAGUGGUUUCAUGGGAGCUGUAUAGAUACGUCUUCUAUUGACAUCUAUCUUAGUCAUUGAGCUCAUUUUCUGCCUCUCUCAUUGACUGGGGAAGGAUCUGGCAGCCUCAGAUAGCAGGGCUCUGCAUUGAUAAUCACUCUUUUGAUAUUAUAUGGUGGAGUGGCUAUCACAGCUUCAUUAGCUACCUCCAGUACGAUGACUUGGAGAGUGCCUUCGAGAUCAGGGAGCUGGGACUGGCACUUCGUAAUCAGUAAUUUCAAACGAAUUUCUGGCCACCCUAAUCAACUACACAGAGUUCCCUGAGGGAAGAUCAGGGUCCUUAUUUCUCCCUUAAGAAUGAAACAUUAAAUUUCAUUCUUCAGUGUUUUUUCCUUCUUUAUAGAAAUCCCUACUUGUAUAACUCUGGUAGCUUUAAUACUUUAAACAAACACAAACAUAAGGAAGAACACAAUUCCUUAUUGCUUACUUGUUUUGCAAUUCAUAUGGCCCUGACAAGAAUUUUUUUGCUUUGAAAUUUGGAACCUGCAUAUUAACACACUUUAUCUUGCCAAGCUAGUUCAAGCAAGGUCUGAUGAAACACCUUUUAUUUGAUCUUUUGUUUGCAUUAAAUGCCUUUUUGAACUUUGGUGAGAGUGGCUGACCUUUAGAAAAAAAGGUAUACUGGUGCAAUGCAGCUAGAAGCAUUAAACAAGUGUACUGACAGUUAAAUGAAAAGUGACUGGCUGGGCUAGGUACACCUGUCAUGUUAAUGCUGCCAGGGGAACUUGGUGCUCACAUGAUUACUUUUGUUGUGUGGGGUUUUUUUUCCCUCCUAUAAAUCUCAGUUAUAUAAAUUUGCUGGGGGGAUUUACAUCUACAACUCUGGCUUCAGAGGUGCCUAGCAUGAUAUUUAAAGGAACUCUAGUUCCUUCUCUCUGGAAUGCAGGAUCAAGAGAGGGCUUACACAUUAAAAUGAAAAGCUAAAUCAAACAGCCGUAGCUUAUUCUUUAAAGUAAACAGAGCAAAGGCUAUUGGUGUCAGCCAUAGCAGCAGUCAGGUAUGUACUGACAAAAGAGAUUGAAGAAAUUUUUUCUAACAGAGGAAAUUAUUGUGGUUUGUUUACUUUUUCCAAGGAGAAAAUGAUCUUUUCAAAGGAUGUAGGAUGAUAAUCAUCAUUAACCAGAAGGCAGAUUUUCAGCAAAAAUAUUGAAAUUAUCCAGCUUAUGGUCCUUUUGGAAAACUGCUGAUCACCCCAAGUUCAAAGAGGUCAGUUGAAAAUUAGGUAAUGCUCUCAAAAUCCCCAUGGCAGGAUGAGACAGUGCUUUCAGGUAUGACAUCCUGAUUAUCAUUAAUUAGAUGUAGGUGAGGAACUCCAGACUCAUGAACAAUUUUGCCAAUAGGUAAAGCUUUUUUUGCACGGUCAUGUUGAAGGACACAGUGAUUUGCUGGCACUGUUGCUGUUUACCUUGCUUCUUUGUGAAAACAAAUUUCUGUUUCAUUUCUUAGGCUACCAGGAUUCUGUCAUCUAUUUUGGGUUUCUUAAUUCCAUGCUAAAUUACUGUGUGCUUGGUUACAGUUUGCUCCAUCAAGGGUUAACUCCAGUGUAGUGAAGUACAAAAAUGGAACAUGCCAAUGAAAACUGAAGUCUCAGCUGUGAAAAUGGAAAAAAUCAGAAAGAACCGUAGUUUCAUACAAUGGCAAGUAUCAGACAGGGAUUUUAGUAACUUAUCAAUGCUAACAUCAUCUUAUCACUGAGAAGUUGUUGAUUUCAGGGUUCUUACUCCUUUUUCCUUUGCAAGUCUGUUACUAUUGAAAAGAGACUGGUCUAUCCUGAUUUUGAAUCCUGUAGGCAACGCAAAGAAGACAAAACCCAAAACCUGUUUCAACAGCAUCACUGCAGUGAUUUCUGGCAAUGGCAUCCUGCUAUUUGUUCUUGCUUUGGGGUCAUGUGCAACAAAUACUGUUGGCUUAAAUGUUAAGAGGAGUUGACGAAAAUGCAGGUUAUAUGCUGGUAAAUUCUGGAAGGAAGAUGAGUCCUUGAAAGGUGGCUCAGUGUUGUAAAGUUGCCUCAGAGAGUUUUAAAAAUUAUGUCAGGCAAUGGAUGCAUAUACAGUUUUGUUGCAUCCCCUGCUCCAAAGUCCAGCCUGGUAAGGUUGGGGUGCAGCCAUUUGUUUCCACCUGCUGAAGUGCCAACAGACACACACAUCUGUGAAAAUAGCAUCACACAGAGGAGUUUUGCUUAGUAAUGAUGAUCCAAUUCUCUCUUAUAUACAAAAAGCCUGACUGCAAGGGAAUAAUUAUUAUUGGUUGCAAUGGUUAUCUUUUUAUUAAUGCUGCUAUUUUUUCAAAGAGUAAUGACAAGUUUUCCUGACAUGACUGAGCCAAAUGAAUAACUGUUCCAUAACAGACCACAUUCCAUCCUUUUUCUCCUUCACUUUUCUUUUCUUGCCCUGAUUCUUCCACAUAUCUCAUUUAUUUUCACACUCUUUAAGCUAAUUCCCUCAUUUGGAAAAAAACAAACAAACCAACCAAACAACAACCCUAUGUUUUUUGUUCCACCUAAUGUUAGUAUAAUUUUAAUGAACUGAAUUCGCUAAACUUCUUGGUUGUCCCUCUGUGCUGCCAGACAACCAGCACAGCUGGCACAAGGUAAGCAAGAGUCCAGACAUGGCAAAGGCAAGCAGGCUUUCUCUUUUCCUGCAGCAAAACAGUUAUUUGGGUAAUGCUGCUGAACAAAACCACACUCCAAAAACUUCAUCCCAGUGACAUUUUUCCAGUAAUAUUUUUCCUAUCAGCAAAACCAGUGUAAGAGGUUCUGAUUUUCCUAUUCCUCUCUCUGUUCCCACUGUCCACGAUGUUUCUCUUACUAGUUUGUUAGUUGUGCUUAUACAACUGUUUGUAGAGAUGUCUUGCAAACUGGGAUCACUGAAAUUAUCGAAUUCCCUUUUCAAAAGUAGUUUUAAAGAAAACCCCUCCACCUCUGAUCCUUGUGGUGAUUGCCAUCAGAGCACAGCCCAAAGAAGCCAAAGUCAGCCCUGCAGCCCCUUCAGCUGGCAAAGCUAGGAGGGCACUGAGCUGCAGUUGUGAGCCAAGUGGGUUUGCAAAGAAGGGAACCAAGUGGGCAGGAACAGGGGAGCGAGAAACUGUUUUACACUGCUUUGCCAUUGGAGAAAACAAGUGUCUAGAUUUAAGGUGGUUUUUUUUGCAGAUUUGGGUUUUGUUUUCAGUAAAGGCUGCAGGAAACACAACCAGGUAAUGUUCAGCAACAGAUGAAGCAGAACCUCUAACCACUGAUGUAAGUAUAAACUCUAGCCACCAUUUUUCUAACCACUGAUGUAAGUAUAAAUUUUUACAGUGACAACAAAAGGCUAAGGACAUCAAGGUGACAGCUGUGUUUUUCAGCUUUGAUCAUAUAAAUUGAGAACUGUUGCCAGCUGAGAACAGUUCAGCCUUUCCUGUGAUCCAGCUUUAACAAAGAAAUAAUUUUACUGUGGGAGCUUGUGGGCCUUAUUUGUUACACCUGACUGACCCAUACUUAGAAAAUGUGUAUAAAGAACAUUUUCUAGGUUUGGAAUGAAAGAAAUGCUCAUCAUCAUAGCUGUGGUUGCUUGACAUAGGAGAAUGUGAAGUAGACCAUGAUAUUCUGCUAAAUCCAGAUUAAGGAAACCUUCAACUUCCUAUUUCCUAAUAGAUCUUUGUCUAGUGUUACAUCCAACCUCAAUCAAAAUACAUAAUGACCAUCUCAUAAGUACUCAUGAGCUGUAAUUUAUAUGCUUGUAUAAAAUACAACUGUCAGCUUAGAUGUUUACAUGAGAUACAGAUUUUUGUUGGUAAAGAAUAUAUACAUUGAGAGCUGAAAUUUGAAUACCAGGCAUGAGGGAAUGUUGUCUCCCCAGGGUCUUAAUGAUUUGUUUAUAUUGAAAACAAAAAUAUUCCCUAGCAAGCUUCUGUUUAUGGGGAGAUGACUUCACCUGAAAGGGAUCUUAAUAAGUCGCAAAGUUAGAUGGGGAGGGCAAACAACCCCUCAGGAGAAGUGUCAAAAUUAUCACUUUGAUUAAAUUGCAGAUCACAGGUGUCUGUGGUGGAGUAAAGGUUUGAGCUUGAAUAUGAGCUCAACAGGAAUCUACCUUCAACAAGAGAGCAAAAGACAAUAGUUUCAUCCUAAGAAUAGUGUGCAUGGGAGCAUUUUAGGAGUAUUUGAAAUGAAGAAAAAUGUCUUUGAGUGGAUCUCAAGUAUGAACACAUGUAUCAUUAUUCCCUAUUUUAUUUGUUUAAAUAUGAAUUUAAACCAAGUAAUAAGUCUGUAACUAUAUGAAUCACAGUAAAUGGUUGUUUUCCAUAACUGUUUCUGCAUCUACUUCUGUAUCUAUUUCUUAAUGUCUUGGGAAAGUUGAUUUGAGGGUAAUGCAAACACCAACAUGGUUUUCCUCUGGAUGUGAUGACCCUUAAAUCCUGGAUUGUUUAUCGCUUUUCUGUGUCACCACCGCAGUGAACAUAUUUUGGAGGACUGAAGAGCUAGUGUUCCUUCUCUAAUUCAUAAAAAUUAUUUGAAAUAUAGAGCAUCACUCUAAAUAAAAAUAUUUCAAUAA